CCUACGGGAGGCAGCAGUGGGGAAUCUUGCGCAAUGGGCGAAAGCCUGACGCAGCGACGCCGCGUGAGUGAUGAAGGCCUUCGGGUUGUAAGGCUCUGUGGGGAGAGAAGAAUUAGUGGUGGCUAAUAUCCACCAUGAUGACGGUAUCUCCUUAGCAAGCACCGGCUAACUCUGUGCCAGCAGCCGCGGUAAU
rnacentral:rRNA from 1 species